rnacentral:lncRNA from 1 species
GAAAAAUAGCAAGGAACAAUCAAGAUUUUGUUAUACUUCAGCUUUGAAGAAGGGGGUCUGAUGUUGUAGAAAUGUCCAUUUGUCAGAAACAAGUAUUGUCGUAUUAAACAUAUUUCUCAUGAACUACUGAUCAUAGCCAUUUGAUAUUUGGUAUACAACCUCAGUUAAGGAUCCUGUACUGUUCUUACCAAUUUCAUACUUAUGCAGCACCUACUUAUAAUUUACGGACUUAGUUUAUUUUUUACAGAUGUGCUUUUAGUGGGAUAACAGGUGUAUUCUCAUUGAUCAGUCUCUCACAGACAUCAUCUUCAGUGAU